GCACAGAUGGUGUAACGGCAGCACAAGGGUCUCCAAAGCCUUUUGUCCGGGUACCGCUACGCGGAAGCAAGCUACAAAUCCUGGUCUGUGCG
rnacentral:tRNA from 1 species